AUGGCGUUACGAUCUGGAUCUCUAUCUCGCUCCUUCAUCUCUACAGCCAGAAAUUCCCUCCGCCCGGUCGCUCCUUCUCCCCUUCCCCGCAUCCGUCCACCGCCUCUCGCCGCUCCUCGCAUCCAGUCCCGCCUCUUUUCCAUGCCUGCCACCACUUCCAGGAAUUUGGGGCAAUUGGGUUGCGUACAGUCACUUUUGCCGCUGCAUAGCACGAUGGCGGUAGCUUGUCUUGGUUCUCACAUUGUCGUUAGUGCACGAGCUUGCAGCGAGCUGUCGAAUGGUGAUCCUGAUUCCUGA